rnacentral:rRNA from 1 species
UACAGGGGGUGCAAACGUUGCUCGGAAUCAUUGGGCGUAAAGCGCACGUAGGCGGUCUGUUAUGUCGGAUGUGAAAGCCCUUGGCUCAACUGAGGAAGUGCAUCCGAAACUGGCAGGCUAGAGUACGAAAGAGGAUCGCGGAAUUCCCGGUGUAGAGGUGAAAUUCGUAGAUAUCGGGAGGAACACCGGUGGCGAAGGCGGUCUUCUGGACGGUGACUGACGCUGAGGCGCGAAAGCGUGGGGAGCAAACGGG